GUUUGAAGUUUACGUUUGGCGUAUAUAUUUCAUGCUUUAACGACUAUACAAGCCCUCAUAGCAGUUCAAGCAUGAAAUUUAUACGCCAAACGUAAAUUUCAAAC
rnacentral:miRNA from 1 species